rnacentral:rRNA from 1 species
UACAGAGGGGGCAAGCGUUGUUCGGAAUUACUGGGCGUAAAGGGCGCGUAGGCGGCCUGCUAAGUCGAACGUGAAAUCCCUGGGCUCAACCCAGGAACUGCGUCCGAUACUGGUUGGCUUGAGUCCGGGAGAGGGACGUGGAAUUCCAGGUGUAGCGGUGAAAUGCGUAGAUAUCUGGAGGAACACCGGUGGCGAAGGCGACGUCCUGGACCGGCAUUGACGCUGAGGCGCGAAAGCCAGGGGAGCAAACGGG